rnacentral:rRNA from 1 species
AGUGAACGCUGGCGGUAGGCCUAACACAUGCAAGUCGAACGGUAGCACAGUAAGAGCUUGCUCUUACGGGUGGCGAGUGGCGGACGGGUGAGGAAUACAUCGGAAUCUACUUUUUCGUGGGGGAUAACGUAGGGAAGCUUACGCUAAUACCGCAUACGACCUACGGGUGAAAGCAGGGGAUCUUCGGACCUUGCGCGAUUGAAUGAGCCGAUGUCGGAUUAGCUAGUUGGCGGGGUAAAGGCCCACCAAGGCGACGAUCCGUAGCUGGUCUGAGAGGAUGAUCAGCCACACUGGAACUGAGACACGGUCCAGACUCCUACGGGAGGCAGCAGUGGGGAAUAUUGGACAAUGGGCGCAAGCCUGAUCCAGCCAUACCGCGUGGGUGAAGAAGGCCUUCGGGUUGUAAAGCCCUUUUGUUGGGAAAGAAAAGCAGCAGGUUAAUACCCCGCUGUUCUGACGGUACCCAAAGAAUAAGCACCGGCUAACUUCGUG